rnacentral:rRNA from 1 species
UCGAGAAUCUUUCGCAAUGCCCGAAAGGGUGACGAAGCGACGCCGCGUGCGGGAGGAAGGCCUUCGGGUUGUAAACCGCUGUCGGGAGUUAAGAAAUGCAAGGAUGUUAAUAGCGUUCUUGCUUGACUAAGGCUCCGGAGGAAGCCACGGCUAACUCUGUGCCAGCAGCCGCGGUAAUACAGAGGCGGCAAGCGUUGUUCGGAAUUAUUGGGCGUAAAGAGCACGUAGGCGGCUGUGUAAGUCGGUUGUGAAAGCCUUCCGCUCAACGGAAGAACGGCAUCCGAUACUGCAUGGCUUGAGUGUGGGAGGGGAGAGUGGAACUUCUGGUGGAGCGGUGAAAUGCGUAGAUAUCAGAAGGAACACCGGCGGCGAAGGCGACUCUCUGGUCCAUAACUGACGCUGAGUGUGCGAAAGCUAGGGGAGCAAACGGGAUUAGAUACCCAAGUAGUCCCUGAGCGGGCUGGCAAGGCGCAU